AUUGAACGCUGGCGGCAUGCCUUACACAUGCAAGUCGAACGGUAACAGGUCUUCGGAUGCUGACGAGUGGCGAACGGGUGAGUAAUACAUCGGAACGUGCCUAGUAGUGGGGGAUAACUACUCGAAAGAGUGGCUAAUACCGCAUGAGAUCUACGGAUGAAAGCAGGGGAUCGCAAGACCUUGUGCUACUAGAGCGGCCGAGGGCAGGUUAGGUAGUUGGUGGGAUAAGAGCUUACCAAGCCGGCGAUCUGUAGCUGGUCUGAGAGGACGAUCAGCCAACCUGGGACUGAGACACGGCCCAGACUCCUACGGGAGGCAGCAGUGGGGAAUUUUGGACAAUGGGCGAAAGCCUGAUCCAGCAAUGCCGCGUGCAGGAUGAAGGCCUUCGGGUUGUAAACUGCUUUUGUACGGAACGAAAAGCUCUGGGUUAAUACCCUGGGGUCAUGACGGUACCGUAAGAAUAAGCACCGGCUAACUACGUGCCAGCCGCCGCAGUAACAC
rnacentral:rRNA from 1 species